ACUUUAAACAUAAUAAUGCAGAGACUUUAAAUUCUGAUGUUCCUUCUUUGUUCAGAGUUCAACUGAUAUAUUGUCCCCAAAUUAAAAACUGAGAUUUAACACAAAGACAAUAUGAGUGAAGUACCAAAGCAAGUAGCUUAUGCCUACCCCGCUCCAGGUUAUUACGAGGGACCUCCAGUGAUGGCACCCCCUAUGUAUAUGUAUACUGCUGCUCCUCCUAGGAGCCAACCAGGUUUUCUCGAGGCUUGCCUGGCAACGUUAUGUUGUUGUUGCCUCCUAGACUGUUGUUGCUGGGAUCCUUUCCUCUGCAUCUAGUUCUUCUUUGUACAACUACUUAAAAUGUCAGUAGUAUUCUAUAAGCCGCUUUCUUUUUUGGGUCUGGAAGAAACCAGUGUAUUAUACUUGAAACAAAACAUUUGUACAGGGAGUUGUAAAUGGUGUAGAACUCGCAUUACAAAGGGGGAUUUCAGGGAGUUGUAAGUUAUAAGUGAAUAGAAGAGUUGGAGUACUACUCUUGAUCUCUUUUUUUGUUUUGUUUUUGUCUUAAUCAUUCACAAGUUACCAGCCAAAAGAAGAAUAAAAAUAAUGUGCAUUGUGCCUAUG